CCUACGGGGGGCUGCAGUGGGGAAUAUUGCGCAAUGGGCGAAAGCCUGACGCAGCGACGCCGCGUGGGUGAUGAAGGCCUUCGGGUUGUAAAGCCCUGUCGGGUGGAACGAACGAUCUGGCGGCGAAUAACCGCCGGGUGUGACGGUACCCGGAGAGGAAGCCCCGGCUAACUCUGUGCCAGCAGCCGCGGUAAUACAGAGGGGGCAAGCGUUAUUCGGGAGUAUUGGGGGGAAUGGUUACGUCGGCGGUGUAAUCCCCGAGCUCAACUUGGGAACUGCAUCUGAGACUGGAAGGCUAGAGUACUGGAGAGGGUGGUGGAAUUCCUCGUGUAGCGGUGAAAUGCGUAGAGAUGAGGAGGAACACCAGUGGCGAAGGCGGCCACCUGGACAGUAACUGACGCUGAGGCGCGAAAGUGUGGGUAGCAAACAGGAUUAGAUACCCUAGUAGUC
rnacentral:rRNA from 1 species